UAUCUCUCAAACUUUCUAUCACUAACCUCUCUCUCCAUCUCUCUCACCCGGGUCCCUUUCCGGCGACUUUGUCCGGAGUUCCCUCGGCGGUGCCUUUCUCCCAUUUUGUGGAGUUUCUUGGUUGAUCCAGUGGCGGAUGAGGAUACAUUGAAGACACAACCAGAGAAUGACCCUCUCCGUUCGCCCACAUAAAAAAAAAUCAGUAGGGGCAGACGGAGCCUUUCAAAUAUGGUCACCGGCCUGGAGUGUACUAUCCAAUAAAGAGAGAAGAAAUGCAUAUAAUCUGAAGAUAAAGAGACUGCCUCAGAAUCAAAGUGGUAGUGCUGCAUCAAGUCAGUGCCGCCAAUGCCGAUUGGCAGCCAGGCAAGACACAUUUUGAGUAUUUAAAUAAAUAUUUGGAGUAACCUCGGUGCAAGAAGCCUAUCCAGGGAAUGGAGAUUUCUGCUCCAAAUUUAAAAGCUCCCGGCUCACACUAUUGGAGCGUCUUCCAUAAAACUGAGGAUCUAUCAACAUUCUUGAGUCGUUUAAGAAGUGUAGGACAAUGUGAUGAAUAAAUCGGAUUAUCGCAAUAGGACUUUUUUUAUUAAUUAGCUAAAGAUUAAGUUACUUAAAAUUGUGGGAAUCAUCACAUUUGUAUAACUACUGCGACUAUAGCUCUUAUAUCGACUUUGUUUGCGCCAGUAAAUAGGGGUAAAAAUAUGCGUGUAUUUUGGAUAUAUAAUACAAUUUCAAAUUUCAGUUUCAAAUUUUCUACUA